rnacentral:rRNA from 1 species
GAUCGCUCUACCGUUACUUGGAUAACUGUGGCAAUUCUAGAGCUAAUACAUGCAAACGAGCGCUGACCUUCGGGGAUGCGUGCAUUUAUCAGACCCAAAACCCAUGCGGGGUGCCUCUCGGGGUGCCCCGGCCGCUUUGGUGACUCUAGAUAACCUCGAGCCGAUCGCUUGCCCUCCGUGGCGGCGACGUCUCAUUCGAAUGUCUGCCCUAUCAACUUUCGAUGGUACUUUCUGUGCCUACCAUGGUGACCACGGGUAACGGGGAAUCAGGGUUCGAUUCCGGAGAGGGAGCCUGAGAAACGGCUACCACAUCCAAGGAAGGCAGCAGGCGCGCAAAUUACCCACUCCCGACUCGGGGAGGUAGUGACGAAAAAUAACAAUACAGGACUCUUUCGAGGCCCUGUAAUUGGAAUGAGUACACUUUAAAUCCUUUAACGAGGAUCAAUUGGAGGGCAAGUCUGGUGCCAGCAGCCGCGGUAAUUCCAGCUCCAAUAGCGUAUCUUAAAGUUGCUGCAGUUAAAAAGCUCGUAGUUGGAUCUCGGGAUCGAGCUGACGGUCCGCCGCGAGGCGAGCUACCGUCUGUCCCAGCCCCUGCCUCUCGGCGCCCCCUCGAUGCUCUUAGCUGAGUGUCCCGCGGGGU